GAUGAACGCUAGCGGCAGGCCUAAUACAUGCAGGUCGAACGGUGGUAGCGAUACCAUAGUGGCGCACGGGUGCGUAACACGUAUGCAACCUACCUUAUACUUAGGGAUAGCCUCUGGAAACGGAGAUUAAUACCUAAUAGUACAUUGACUUGGCAUCGGGUUAAUGUUAAAGAUUUAUUGGUAUAAGAUGGGCAUGCGUCCAAUUAGUUAGUUGGUGAGGUAACGGCUCACCAAGACGAUGAUUGGUAGGGGAACUGAGAGGUUAAUCCCCCACACUGGCACUGAGAUACGGGCCAGACUCCUACGGGAGGCAGCAGUAGGGAAUAUUGGGCAAUGGAGGCAACUCUGACCCAGCCAUGCCGCGUGCAGGAUGAAGGCGUUAUGCGUUGUAAACUGCUUUUAUAUAGGAAGAAACAGACCUUGCGAGGUAGAUUGACGGUACUAUAUGAAUAAGCACCGGCUAACUCCGUGCCAGCCGCCGCAGUAACAC
rnacentral:rRNA from 1 species